UGGUCUCGAACUCCUGACCUCAGGUGGUCCACCUGCCUUGGCCUCCCAAAGUGCUGGGAUUACAGGUGUGAGCCACCGUGCCCGGCCCUUUUCAUCCUUUUAAUGGGAGAAGGAAGGGAUGGUUUGUCAUCUUUGAAAUCUGGCCCAGUGAUAUGCUUUUAGCCUACAUGACUCCCAGGACCAUCCUAGAAUUGAUAUGAUCUGUGAAGAAGACUAGAGCAAAUAUUUGGAAUAUAGAUAUUGGAAAAAUGGAAAAAUAAAAAACAAGGAAGAGGGGAAAGAAGACAGAAAAGACUGAACUAUCGAUCUGUGCAAUUAAAGGUGCUUUCCCUCUAGUCGGGGAGAAAAUUGCCGUCAGAUGAGGAGAUCUUGAUCAAUGCAGUGGGAUGACAUUAGGAGAAGGAAAAAUGACUUCAGGAGUCAUAAGUAUGAAAACUGGCUUCAGAUUGAGAAUAAACCGACUAUUAAAAUUGUAAAAGAGCAGAAGUGUUUUGGAUAGUCUCGACAAAAAUACAAAAAU